AGCUCCAAUAGCGUAUAUUAAAGUUGUUGCAGUUAAAAAGCUCGUAGUUGGAUCUCUGGUUUAGGCAUGCGGUUCGCCUCGCGGCGAUUACUGUUUGUCCUGACCUACCUGCCGGUUUGUCCGCUGAUGCUCUUGACUGAGUGUCUGCGGUGGCCGGAACGUUUACUUUGAAAAAAUUAGAGUGUUCAAAGCAGGCCUUUUCAGCCUGAAUAUUAGUGCAUGGAAUAAUGGAAGAGGACCUCGGUUCUAUUUUGUUGGUUUUCGGAGCUCGAGGUAAUGAUUAAGAGGGACUGACGGGGGCAUUCGUAUUACGGUGUUAGAGGUGAAAUUCUUGGAUCAUCGUAAGACGAACUACUGCGAAAGCAUUUGCCAAGAAUGUUUUCA
rnacentral:rRNA from 1 species